AACGAACGCUGGCGGCGCGCCUAACACAUGCAAGUCGAACGAGAAUCCGGGGCAACCCGGUAGUAAAGUGGCAAACGGGUGAGGAAUACAUGGGUAACCUACCCUUGAGAAGGGAAUAACCCGCCGAAAGGUGAGCUAAUACCCUAUACGCUAUCUUUUUUUCGAAAAGGAUAGGAAAGCCGGGUCGAGGACCUGGUACUCAAGGAGGGGCUCAUGUCCUAUCAGCUUGUUGGUGGGGUAACGGCCUACCAAGGCUACGACGGGUAGCUGGUCUGAGAGGAUGAUCAGCCACACUGGCACUGAGAUACGGGCCAGACUCCUACGGGAGGCAGCAGUGAGGAAUAUUGCGCAAUGGGCGAAAGCCUGACGCAGCGACGCCGCGUGGGGGAUGAAGGUUUUCGGAUUGUAAACCCUUUCAUGAGGAAAGAUAAAGUGGGUAACCACUUAGACGGUACUCAAGAAGAAGCCACGGCUAACUUCGUGCCAGCAGCCGCGG
rnacentral:rRNA from 1 species